rnacentral:lncRNA from 1 species
UUGAAAAUAUCUUUCCUUUGCCAAUAUGCUAGAAUAGAAAAAAAUGUAGAUUUUCCUUGAUAAGCAGGUAGGCAUGUCUAGUAACUUUAAUCUGUUGUUCUAUCUUGAUGCAAUGAAUUGUUCAUGAUCUACUGGAUAAGUUUCUUAUUAAAAAUCCAAAAAAGAACAGGCACAGUUAUGUCUCCUUUUAAUCAGCUGCAGGCACUUCUUGUUUGCUAUUAUGUUGUGUACUAUUUUCUUUGCAUCUAUGUUUUCAAACUCUUCCUUUAUAUCCAUUGAAAGUUUUCCUUGUUGCCAGUUAAGAAAUCAGAAAUUGGCAAAGAUCUGGAGACUUAUGCCUGCAACUGUUGGGAAUUAUUACCUUCCUUCUGUCGCUUUCCAACUGACACAUACCAGAAUUUUGGAGCUCUAGCCAAACAUUUGAUACCUUGUAUCAAAGACCCACCUAUGCUUCAAAUUGUGGCAGUUGCCUUGAAGGUCUAGUAAAAAGAAUUUGUUCCUUAUUGCUUCUUUGCAGUACUGUUAUUCAGCCUUAUGUUUCUUUUCUAGUGAUUGUCUUUUAGUCUUACCU